AAAGCACUAAAUCAAAGAGUUCAUCAAAUCUGCUAACAAACGAUGUUAAUGAUAGUCAGAAGCCAUCGCCAUCUUCUGAUAUUGGAACACUUGCUAGCCCUAAUGUGUCCCUGUUUCCAUCAAAUACUGCUGAAGGAAUUGACAACCUGGCUCCUGUUGAAGCUAAUGAUGCUGCUAAAGAUUCAACAUUUUCAUGUGAAGAGAAAGAUGAAAAGAAUUUGGAAGCAUCUUUGGAAGAUGACAGGGUUAAUGUUGAGCAACAAUCUCCAUCCCAGCAAGUGCAGCACAGAAGUCACCUUGAUAAGAUGGUACCAAAUGUGCGCAAGACAAAAAGAGACGCAAAGUUGUCUAGUCAGUCUAACAGUGAUAUAUCCUCAAUUAGAGAAAAAGGAAAGCCUCGAGCCAGUGCUCCCGGAAAAAGCAUGGAUUUAACAGAGAUGGAAGGCACUGUUGUUUCAGCUACUGAAAAGGAUGAUGCUUCUGGAGCUGAUAAUCCUGGUUCCUUGGAACAAAUUGAAACUAUAGCCAAUGCUGAACAUGUGGACAAGACACGCAGAAAGAAAUCAAACAAGAAGCAAAGCACUAAAUCAAAGAGUUCAUCAAAUCUGCUAACAAACGAUGUUAAUGAUAGUCAGAAGCCAUCGCCAUCUUCUGAUAUUGGAACACUUGCUAGCCCUAAUGUGUCCCUGUUUCCAUCAAAUACUGCUGAAGGAAUUGACAACCUGGCUCCUGUUGAAGCUAAUGAUGCUGCUAAAGAUUCAACAUUUUCAUGUGAAGAGAAAGAUGAAAAGAAUUUGGAAGCAUCUUUGGAAGAUGACAGGGUUAAUGUUGAGCAACAAUCUCCAUCCCAGCAAGUGCAGCACAUAAGUCA
rnacentral:lncRNA from 1 species